rnacentral:rRNA from 1 species
AGUGAACGCUGGCGGUAGGCCUAACACAUGCAAGUCGAACGGCAGCACAGUAAGAGCUUGCUCUUACGGGUGGCGAGUGGCGGACGGGUGAGGAAUACAUCGGAAUCUACUUUUUCGUGGGGGAUAACGUAGGGAAACUUACGCUAAUACCGCAUACGACCUACGGGUGAAAGCAGGGGAUCUUCGGACCUUGCGCGAUUGAAUGAGCCGAUGUCGGAUUAGCUAGUUGGCGGGGUAAAGGCCCACCAAGGCGACGAUCCGUAGCUGGUCUGAGAGGAUGAUCAGCCACACUGGAACUGAGACACGGUCCAGACUCCUACGGGAGGCAGCAGUGGGGAAUAUUGGACAAUGGGCGCAGGCCUGAUCCAGCCAUACCGCGUGGGUGAAGAAGGCAUUCGGGUUGUAAAGCCCUUUUGUUGGGAAAGAAAAGCAGCAGGUUAAUACCCCGCUGUUCUGACGGUACCCAAAGAAUAAGCACCGGCUAACUUCGUG